rnacentral:rRNA from 1 species
UACGUAGGGGGCAAGCGUUGUCCGGAUUUAUUGGGCGUAAAGAGCGUGUAGGCGGCUUUACAGGUCCGUUGUGAAAACUCGAGGCUCAACCUCGAGACGUCGGUUGAAACCGUCUGGCUAGAGUCCGGAAGAGGAGAGUGGAAUUCCCGGUGUAGCGGUGAAAUGCGUAGAUAUCGAGAGGAACACCUGCGGCGAAGGCGGGUUGCUGGGCUGACACUGACGCUGAUGCGCGAAAGCUAGGGGAGCGAACGGG